GAUGAACGCUGGCGGCGUGCCUAAUACAUGCAAGUCGAGCGAACGGACGAGAAGCUUGCUUCUCUGAUGUUAGCGGCGGACGGGUGAGUAACACGUGGAUAACCUACCUAUAAGACUGGGAUAACUUCGGGAAACCGGAGCUAAUACCGGAUGAUAUUUUGAAUCGCAUGGUUCAAAAGUGAAAGACGGUCUUGCUGUCACUUAUAGAUGGAUCCGCGCUGCAUUAGCUAGUUGGUAAGGUAACGGCUUACCAAGGCAACGAUGCAUAGCCGACCUGAGAGGGUGAGCGCCCACACGGGAACGGAGACCGGGCCAGGACUCCGCGGGGAGGCACCAGUAGGGACUCUUCCGCAAGGGGGGAAAGCCUGACGGAGCAACGCCGGGUGAGUGAUGAAGGUUUUGGGAUCGAAAACCUCUUUUAUGAGGGAAGAACAUAUGUGAAAGUACCUGUGCACAUCUGGACGGUACCUAAUAAGAAAGCCACGCCAAACUACGUG
rnacentral:rRNA from 1 species